rnacentral:rRNA from 1 species
AACGAACGCUGGCGGCAUGCCUAACACAUGCAAGUCGAACGAGACCUUCGGGUCUAGUGGCGCACGGGUGCGUAACGCGUGGGAACCUGCCUUUAGGUUCGGAAUAACUCAGAGAAAUUUGAGCUAAUACCGGAUAAUGUCUUCGGACCAAAGAUUUAUCGCCUUUAGAUGGGCCCGCGUUUGGAUUAGCUAGUUGGUGGGGUAAAGGCCUACCAAGGCGACGAUCCUUAGCUGGUCUGAGAGGGUGAUCAGCCACACUGGGACUGAGACACGGCCCAGACUCCUACGGGAGGCAGCAGUGGGGAAUAUUGGACAAUGGGCG